rnacentral:rRNA from 1 species
AACGUAGGACACAAGCGUUAUCCGGAGUUACUGGGCGUAAAGGGCGUGUAGGCGGCCACCGCAAGUCGGUUGUGAAAUCUCCGGGCUUAACCCGGAAAGGUCAACCGAUACUGCGGGGCUAGAGUGCAGAAGGGGCAACUGGAAUUCUCGGUGUAGCGGUGAAAUGCGUAGAUAUCGAGAGGAACACCUGCGGCGAAGGCGGGUUGCUGGGCUGACACUGACGCUGAAACGCGAAAGCUAGGGGAGCGAACGGG